GAUCCGCUGUUUAUCCCAGCCCCGGCACUGCUUCCUGUGUUGUUCUUCCUCUUGAGGAAAGAGGGGGGUGCUAAAGAUCUCCCCGCACACCCUUGCGCUCGCCGGCCACCGCAGCAGGUGUCCCCAGGGUUGCUGAUGGCUCCCUUGCACUCGCCCUUCCUGAAGAGCAGUUUGGCAGCCAAGGCACCUGGAGUUAUCGGAAUGUCCUGGAUGGAUGGCCAGGCGGCUUUCCCCCGCGAAGAAAGUAUCUGUAUGCUGUCCAUUUGGAGCUGUCCACGGGGCCCCUGGUUCCCUCUAUGACCCACCUUGACCAUUUUAUCAAGAUUGUGUGAUUGGCAGGUCUUCAGAAGGACCUACCCGAAGAACCUUGAAUUCACAGAAGCCACCUGGAACAGCAAGAGGAGUCUGCUUUCGUGUUCCUGCAGCCUUUCUAGUCUCUUCCUUCAGGAUCGUUGAGCCAGUGCCCUGGGGUGUCGUAUUGCCUUCCCAACGAAUCUCAUAAGAUUGCUCUAAAAAUCCAGUGGAAUGAUGAUUAUGCAAGUCCCCGGCUCCAAGAUGUCCUCUGCAUUUAUAUUACAGCAGCAUACUAUAGGAAACCGGGACUGUCAUUUGGAAAGGAUGUCACCAUCCACAACAUCCCUCUGUGUUUUCCCCCUUCUGGCUGGAAGAGCAUCCAUCAUCCCUACUCCUUUAUGCUUAUAUAACGUCUCCACACUUCGCUCAGUUUCGAUGGAAGAUGCGAGAAUAUUUGCUCCAGUUUUUUUUCUUAAAGAACUCUGUACUGUC